UCUUAGUCUAACUCAGGCUCUGAUUCGGACUGACUGGUUUGACUGUCACUCCCUGUAUUUUGUCCGAACACCCAGUCGACGAUGUCUUCCCCUUCUCUGUCUGUCAAUCUGCCUGCCUCCACAUCUUCUUCCAGAGAUAUAAUCCACACCGUCCAGUCAAACAACCUGUCGAACACUUGCAUCCUUUAAGGAGUGAGUUGACUCGAUCACGGACAGCCUGUACGUUGGUGGCAGUAUCCCAUUUAAUGGACAAACCUGACGAGUGAAAUCAAUCUUCAAGGAGGCUGCAAGGGUACGUGCUGGCUCACUUCGCCAGUUGCUUGGACUACUCAUAUUCCCACUGACGCCAUGGCACAACUCACAUACUCCGUUGUCUGCAACACUGUCACUGACUUCCCCAAAAGAAAGCUGCCUUCUAGUUUUUCGCUUACUAGCUAGACACUAUUUUACAAAUGUUUGUAUUAAUUUUUUAUAUCAUUA